rnacentral:rRNA from 1 species
GUAUUAAAAGGUUGUUGCAGUUAAAAAGCUCGUAGUUGGAUUUGUGGCGGUUCCUGUGGUCCGAUUUCGGUACUUUCGGGGACUGCCAUCCUUGGGUGGAUCCUGUGUGGCAUUAGGUUGUCGCGCAGGGGAUGCCCAUCGUUUACUGUGAAAAAAUUAGAGUGUUCAAAGCAGGCUUACGCCGUUGAAUAUAUUAGCAUGGAAUAAUGAGAUAGGACCUUGGUACUAUUUUGUUGGUUUGCGCACCGAGGUAAUGAUUAAUAGGGACAGUUGUGGGUAUUCGUAUUCCAUUGUCAGAGGUGAAAUUCUUGGAUUUCUGGAAGACGAACUAAUGCGAAAGCAUUUACCAAGGAUGUUUUCAUUAAUCAAGAACGAAAGUUAGGGGAUCGAAGAUGAUUAGAUACCAUCGUAGUCGUCAUAGCUGAUUUCCUGAAGA